UGUUCUGUGGCGGAGUUGGUUAACGCGCCCUGGCGAACUUGGGGAGACGUGGGUUCAAAUCCCACCAGAACUA
rnacentral:tRNA from 1 species